GAUGAAGAACGCAGCGAAAUGCGAUAAGUAAUGUGAAUUGCAGAAUUCAGUGAAUCAUCGAAUCUUUGAACGCACCUUGCGCUCCUUGGUAUUCCGAGGAGCAUGCCUGUUUGAGUGUCAUUAAUAUAUCAACCUCUUCAGCUUAUGCUUGUUGAGUGUUGGAUGGUGGGGGUUUGCUGGUGUCUUAUGAAGUCAGCUCCUCUGAAAUGCAUUAGCGGAACAAUUUGUUGACCGUUCAUUGGUGUGAUAAAAAUAUCUACGCUAUUGACGUCAGUCAGUUCAGCUUCUAACAGUCCAUUGACUUGGACAAAUUUUUCAUUAAUGUCACCUCAAAUCAGGUAGGACUACCCGCUGAACUUAAGCAUAUCAAUAAGCGGAGGA
rnacentral:misc_RNA from 1 species